rnacentral:lncRNA from 1 species
AUUCCAGGUGGAUUUUAGAGCAGGAUGUUCCCAGCUCCAAAUUCCAGGUGGAUUUUAGAGCAGGAUGUUCCCAGCUCCAAAUUCCAGGUGGAUGUUGGACAGGAUUUCAGCCCAGCUCCACAAUCAGGUGGAUGUUGGACAGGAUUUCAGCCCAGCUCCAAAUUCCAGGUUUAUUUUAGAGCAGGAUGUUCCCAGCUCCACAAUCAGGUGGAUGUUGGACAGGAUUUCAGCCCAGCUUCAAAUUCCAGGUGGAUGUUGGACAGGAUUUCAGCCCAGCUCCAAAUUCCAGGUUUAUUUUAGAGCAGGAUGUUCCCAGCUCCAAAUUCCAGGUGGAUGUUGGAGCAGGAUGGUCCCAGCUCCACAAUCAGGUGGAUUUUAGAGCAGGAUGUUCCCAGCUCCAAAUUCCAGGUGGAUGUUGGACAGGAUUCCA